GAAACGUUGACCAGGUUGGUCUGUGUGUCUGGAGUGUGUGUCAUGCUUAGACCCUGUGGUUUGUGUGAUGUCCCUAGCUUUCGUGGCUGUCCGGGACUCGUAGCUUGGACUGGCACGGGACUCGUAGCAAGACGUAUGGAUGCAGCUCACGGUCAAGCGACGUGAGGGCGUAGCUCGGGGCACUCAAGUCUGUUUCAGAUUGCCAUCAUUGGACUUAGAAUUAAUGUGAACUUCGGUCGAAUUUGCCUCCUGUAAACUUGUCGAUGGGACUCCUUGUGACUGAAAUACUUCAAACCACAGAAUGGAUUGGAAUGAAACAACCACUAACCUGAAACACAUCUUGGCGAGUGAGAUGAACAAAGACAUCGCUCUACCAGAGGGUACAGUUGACAGGAUGGAACUGGGAUGCUCUCAAGAAGGGGACACCACAAUGAAGGUCUGCAACAAGCCUAUGAUUGAUCAAGAGAUUGACUACCUCUUACAGAUUGGAAUCGGUGCAAGAACUAUAUCACGAAUAUUAUCGCAGAAUACUAGGUGGUAUUGCACUUAUAUAGCGACGUGCAUGCACAUGUAUCUGUGUGUGUGGCUGCUUGUACUAGUCCGGACCAAUUAUAGUGCUAGCUCACUGA